CCUGCCCCUACAGGCAUUACAGGUGUGGCCACUGUGUCACAUGUGCACCAGUACAUGGCUGAGAGGAGAGACUGUGUCUCUGCUCAGUAUUCUGACUUAUGCACAUCUGCAUGGUUAGUAACCUAACAUA